rnacentral:snRNA from 1 species
AUCACUUCUCGGCCUUUUGGCUAAGAUCAAGUGUAGUAUCUGUUCUUAUCAGUUUAAUAAUUUAAAUAACUUUAAACCUUUAGAACUAUUUUUAUAAAGCUUUCAAGAGCCAAU